ACAGUCGUGGCCCACUGGUUAGGGCUGCGGGCUUGAAACCGGAGGGUUGCCGGUUCGAUUCCCGACAGUA
rnacentral:tRNA from 1 species